rnacentral:rRNA from 1 species
UGGGGAAUAUUGCACAAUGGGGGAAACCCUGAUGCAGCGACGCCGCGUGAACGAUGAAGCCCUUCGGGGUGUAAAGUUCUUUCGACAGGAACGAUAAUGACGGUACCUGGAGAAGAAGCUGCGGCUAACUACGUGCCAGCAGCCGCGGUAAUACGUAGGCAGCGAGCGUUGUUCGGAGUUACUGGGCGUAAAGAGUGCGUAGGCGGCGAGCCAAGUUUGGUGUGAAAUCUCCCGGCUUAACCGGGAGGGUGCGCCGAAAACUGGUUGGCUGGAGUAUGGGAGAGGAAAGCGGAAUUCCUGGUGUAGCGGUGAAAUGCGUAGAUAUCAGGAGGAACACCUGCGGUGUAGACAGCUUUCUGGACCAAAACUGACGCUGAGGCACGAAAGCGUGGGUAGCAAACA